rnacentral:rRNA from 1 species
CCUACGGGAGGCAGCAGUGGGGAAUUUUGGACAAUGGGCGCAAGCCUGAUCCAGCAAUGCCGCGUGCAGGAUGAAGGCCUUCGGGUUGUAAACUGCUUUUGUACGGAACGAAACGGCGAGCUCUAAUAAAGUUCGCUAAUGACGGUACCGUAAGAAUAAGCACCGGCUAACUACGUGCCAGCAGCCGCGGUAAUACGUAGGGUGCAAGCGUUAAUCGGAAUUACUGGGCGUAAAGCGUGCGCAGGCGGUGAUGUAAGACAGAUGUGAAAUCCCCGGGCUCAACCUGGGACCUGCAUUUGUGACUGCAUCGCUAGAGUACGGUAGAGGGGGAUGGAAUUCCGCGUGUAGCAGUGAAAUGCGUAGAUAUGCGGAGGAACACCGAUGGCGAAGGCAAUCCCCUGGACCUGUACUGACGCUCAUGCACGAAAGCGUGGGGAGCAAACAGGAUUAGAUACCCUGGUAGUCCACGCCCUAAACGAUGUCAACUGGUUGUUGGGUCUUCACUGACUCAGUAACGAAGCUAACGCGUGAAGUUGACCGCCUGGGGAGUACGGCCGCAAGGUUGAAACGUUAAUGAAUUGACGG